rnacentral:sRNA from 1 species
AUUCUCCUUGAUAACAGCGACGAUGUUGAUUUAUGGUCUGCGAAAUUAUCGCCAGCACCAGGGAGGAUAACGUUGCGUAAGCAACGGCCCGUAGGGCGAGGCGCAGCCGAGUAAUCCUCCCGGAUGCACCA